CCUACGGGAGGCAGCAGUGGGGAAUAUUGCACAAUGGGGGAAACCCUGAUGCAGCGACGCCGCGUGAGUGAAGAAGGAUUGCGGUAUGUAAAGCUCUGUCAGCAGGGAAGAAAAUGACGGUACCUGACCAAGAAGCCACGGCGAACGACGUGCCAGCAGACGCGGUAAUACGGAGGGGGCAAGCGUUAUCCGGAUUGACUGGGUGUCAAGGGAGCGUAGACGGCCGGGCAAGUCUGGAGGUCAAGGCGGGGGCUCCACCCCCGGACUGCUCUGGAAACUGCCAGGCUGGAGUGCCGGAGAGGUCAGUGGCAUUCCUCUUGUAGCUGUGACAUGCUUCGAUAUU
rnacentral:rRNA from 1 species